GAGACAUCUAAGUGAAGGCUGGGAGAGAGCUGUGUUUGGGCAGUCCUGGGGCCUUUACUUCAACUAGGAAGAUGCUAGACCUCCUGGAGUGUCAGAACCUGGCAUUCUUGGCCCAAAAGGAGCUGAUCCAGGUGAGCCAACAUCCAUCUAACACCCUGGCUGACUUACAAAACACAGAAACAGAUUUGCUGGUUUUCUUGAUGGCACCUUGCUCAAGAGUAGCUGACACAAUUUUACCAUGUAUUACAGUGCUUCUGAACUUCAUAUUCUAAACAAGUCUGGAAAGUCAUCCUGAAUAGGUCCCCUCAAGAUCUACAAGGGACCACAAUAUGUGGCUGUCUUGGAAUGGGAUAGGUGGAAGAGAUUUUCAUUUCCCUGGUUAACAUCCUGCAGUCCCUGCUGUAUGCUGGAAUAUCAAGCUAAAACCCUGAAAAACAGCA